rnacentral:rRNA from 1 species
AGAGUUUGAUCCUGGCUCAGAUGAACGCUAGCGGAGGCCUAACACAUGCAAGCCGAGCGGUAUUGUUUCUUCGGAAAUGAGAGAGCGGCGUACGGGUGCGGAACACGUGUGUAACCUGCCUUUAUCUGGGGGAUAGCCUUUCGAAAGGAAGAUUAAUACUCCAUAAUAUAUUGAACGGCAUCGUUUAAUAUUGAAAGCUCCGGCGGAUAGAGAUGGGCACGCGCAAGAUUAGCUAAUUGGUGAGGUAACGGCUCUCCAAGGCGAUGAUCUUUAGGGGCCUGAGAGGGUGAUCCCCCACACUGGUACUGAGACACGGACCAGACCCCUACGGGAGGCAGCAGUGAGGAAUAUUGGUCAAUGGGUGCAAGCCUGAACCAGCCAUCCCGCGUGAAGGACGACUGCUCUAUGGGUUGUAAACUUCUUUUAUACAGGGAUAAACCUACCCUCGUGAGGGUAGCUGAAGGUACUAUACGAAUAAGCACCGGCUAACUCCGUG